rnacentral:rRNA from 1 species
CCUACGGGAGGCAGCAGUGGGGAAUUUUGCGCAAUGGGGGCAACCCUGACGCAGCAACGCCGCGUGAGUGAUGAAGGCCUUCGGGUCGUAAAGCUCUGUCAGAGGGGAAGAAAUGCAGGUGGUGAACAACCAUUCUGUUUGACGGUACCCUCAAAGGAAGCACCGGCUAACUCCGUGCCAGCAGCCGCGGUAAUACGGAGGGUGCGAGCGUUGUUCGGAAUUAUUGGGCGUAAAGCGCGUGUAGGCGGUUUGUUAAGUCUGAGGUGAAAGCCCCGGGCUCAACCGGGGAAGUGCAUUGGAUACUGGCAGACUUGAGUACGGGAGAGGAGAGUGGAAUUCCCAGUGUAGGAGUGAAAUCCGUAGAUAUUGGGAGGAACACCGGUGGCGAAGGCGGCGCCCUGGCCGACACCUGACGCUGAAGCGCGAAAGCGUGGGGAGCGAACGGGAUUAGAUCCCCUG